CGCAUCCACCUUUAGCCUCAGAAAGGACUGGGCCUUGACCACAUUGAAUUUAAACCUCCACCGUGUUUCAGAUAUCUCCGUUCUGUUUUGACAUGGCGGAGUAAGACAAAUACACCCAAAUGGCAGCUCCGGAGACCCUAGAACACACUGCUGUUCACUGCCCAGCAUCUAAAGUGGGACCCAGUCAGCACCCACCAGAUAAAACUCUCACCAGAGGCCAAAGCGGAGACCCUGAGCAAAUUCCCUUCUGGAAGGGGACAAAAGAAGGGCAGGAUGCAGGCAUGCUGUGCUGUACCCUGACCCUCUAGCAGAGUUGUCACCGCUGGAGAGAAACAGAUUUUGCCUCCAAGAAGGAGAAGAGAGAUGCAGGUGUGUAAUGGACUCCAAAGUGGGCUACCCGGGUUCGGUCCUGGCCCUCCUGCCUAUUAGCUGUGUGGUUUGUGGCUCACGGAGCAGAACAUGAUGAAUAUCACUUUUCCACUGGGGCAAAAGUCACACAGCCAAAGAAGCGAGGCAAUCAUCCAGAAAACAAAAUUGUUUUUGUCUGAGUGGCCAUUGGAGAGACUGAAAAACAGGCUCUUCAGACGCAACUUCUUCAGAAUAUUUUUAGUACAGGAGGAUGUAGAACCCACGGAUACGGAUGACCUGUUGCGCAUCUCAUGAUAAUCCCUACAGGUGGGUGAUACAGAGUGCGCCAGCCCCAAAGAGAGCCCACGGCCUUAGGAUGACGUGGCAGUGACAUUCAUCGCUGAGGAAGGGGAUCUGACAGAAAUGACAGGGGCCUCAGGGUGCCCCAGUGUGCACAGAGAGUGAUGAAUGUUAACCAGAUGCUGGUCUCCCUCCACCCUCAGAAGGUACAGGAAUUUGAAGGAGAAAGGAGAACCGGGCAGUGAGGACAGCUCUGAGAUGCCUCUGAGUUUACUGACAUGUAGUUUCCUCCAUCUGC